UACCGGUACAAGCUGGCAGAUUCGUGGCAGCUUGGGUAUUUUGGUCAUUUCACUUUUGACACCUAUCUAUUUGAACCCAGCACGACUCUGGGGGCUCAGUGAAGGUUGCUGGAGCUCAGGGGAUUGUUCUUCCACCUUCCUCUCUCUCUCUCUCUAGGGUUUUUCUCUCUCUACAUAGAAAUCGACGAUUUUGCUCGUUUUCGUCGCCUCGCUUGUUCGUCGCUUGUUGCGAGUGUUACGGAGCCCUUGUGAACGUGUGAGAGAGUACUUUGGAAGUCUUUUCGCAGCUCUGGACCAGCGAGCUACUGGUUGGAGGCUUGGCGAGGUAAUCGGCUCUACUUUUCCAUUAUUAACGUCGAUUUGAGUAUUGUUUUCAGGUUUUAGCUUCCCGCUGCUUUAAACUGAGAUUUCAGCUUGUAUUUAUGAGUUAUUUAGCUGAGAAUUAACCCUCUUAGAUCUGGGAUAAGCCACUUGGAAGCUUAAUUGGAAUAAUUAGCCAUUUAUGAAGCUAUUUCGGACUAUAUACGGGUUAUGCGACCGAAUUGAUACAAUUUGAAAAUUGUUCUCUUUGCAGCAGGUUUUUGAACCUUAUUAAACGAAUUAGUGACCUUGGGACUGAGUUUAGAAGGUGUUCUAACUACGGCGAGAGGGUAUUUGACCCUUGGACCGUCUUCGACUGGCCUUGGAGAACCUUUUGGAAGCUUAACUUGAGCAGCAGUGGGACCUCGUGGGGCUGAUUUUGGGACCCUUGCAAACUGUUUUGGAGCUUUGUACGAGAGCCUGUUACAGGAGAGGCUAGGGAUCGUGGCAAGGGAGUCGCGCCUAGCUAGGGACUACUAGGAGCGUGCUAGUCGAUCACCUUGAUACUCGGUCUACGACCGAGGGUGAUGUCCCUUUGUAUAGAGAAACCACCAUUAUAUCUAUCAUAUUUUUGUAUACUCGUGAUGUAUUUGUACCACUUGGACCGUGAACUACAGUUGUGACACUUCUCUUCUGUCGAGAUUUUGGGAUUGUACACUCUUAGUCUUUUGUUGAUAUAUAUCGACCUGUACAUUGCUCUGAUAUCAGGAUAGGACUUUCUUUGUUUUA